AAGAGAUGGAGUGGAUUCAGUAGCUUUAUUGCCUUCUGAAGUUGUGGCAGUUGACUUGUCAGCUUGCUGAUUUCUAGUUUCCUGCACUGUCAGCUUGCUGCCAGUACCUGUACCUGCACAUUCUUCCUCAUCCCUUGCAAGAUCAUCAGUAGACUCUUGAAAUGAAACAUCAAUAGACUCUUCAACAGUAUGUUUAGCAAG
rnacentral:lncRNA from 1 species